GACGAACGCUGGCGGCGUGCUUAACACAUGCAAGUCGAACGAUGAAGCCAGCUUGCUGGUGGAUUAGUGGCGAACGGGUGAGUAACACGUGGGUGAUCUGCACCAAACUUUGGGAUAAGCCUGGGAAACUGGGUCUAAUACCGAAUAUGACCGAUACUCGCAUGGGUGUUGGUGGAAAGCUCGGGCGGUUUUGGAUGGGCCCGCGGCCUAUCAGCUUGUUGGAGGGGUAAUGGCCUACCAAGGCGACGAAGGGUAGCCGGCCUGAGAGGGCGACCGGCCACACUGGGACUGAGACACGGCCCAGACUCCUACGUGAGGCAGCAGUGGGGAAUAUUGCACAAUGGGCGCAAGCCUGAUGCAGCGACGCCGCGUGAGGGAUGCCGUCCUUCGGGUUGUAAACCUCUUUCUCCAGGGACGAAGCGAAAGUGACGGUACCUGGAGAAGAAGCACCGGCCAACUACGUG
rnacentral:rRNA from 1 species